rnacentral:rRNA from 1 species
AAGUCGNNCGGCAGCGCGGGGCAACCUGGCGGCGAGUGGCGAACGGGUGAGUNNUAUAUCGGAAUGUGCCCUGGAGUGGGGGAUAACGCAGCGAAAGUUGCGCUAAUACCGCAUACGAUCUAAGGAUGAAAGCGGGGGAUUCGCAAGAACCUCGUGCUCCUGGAGCGGCCGAUAUCUGAUUAGCUAGUUGGUGGGGUAAAGGCCUACCAAGGCAUCGAUCAGUAGCUGGUCUGAGAGGACGACCAGCCACACUGGAACUGAGACACGGUCCAGACUCCUACGGGAGGCAGCAGUGGGGAAUUUUGGACAAUGGGCGCAAGCCUGAUCCAGCAAUGCCGCGUGAGUGAAGAAGGCCUUCGGGUUGUAAAGCUCUUUUGUCAGGGAAGAAACGGUGCGGGCUAAUAUCCUGCACUAAUGACGGUACCUGAAGAAUAAGCACCGGCUAACUACGUGCCAGCAGCCGCGGUAAUACGUAGGGUGCAAGCGUUAAUCGGAAUUACUGGGCGUAAAGCGUGCGCAGGCGGUUUUGUAAGUUUGUCGUGAAAUCCCCGGGCUCAACCUGGGAAUUGCGAUGAAGACUGCAAGGCUAGAAUCUGGCAGAGGGGGGUAGAAUUCCACGUGUAGCAGUGAAAUGCGUAGAGAUGUGGAGGAACACCGAUGGCGAAGGCAGCCCCCUGGGUCAAGAUUGACGCUCAUGCACGAAAGCGUGGGGAGCAAACAGGAUUAGAUACCCUGGUAGUCCACGCCCUAAACGAUGUCUACUAGUUGUCGGGUUUUAAUUAACUUGGUAACGCAGCUAACGCGUGAAGUAGACCGCCUGGGGAGUACGGUCGCAAGAUUAAAACUCAAAGGAAUUGACGGGGACCCGCACAAGCGGUGGAUGAUGUGGAUUAAUUCGAUGCAACGCGAAAAA